rnacentral:rRNA from 1 species
AUUGAACGCUAGCGGGAUGCUUUACACAUGCAAGUCGAACGAGUGGCGGACGGGUGAGUAAUGUCUGGGAAACUGCCUGAUGGAGGGGGCUAACUACUGGAAACGGUAGCUAAUACCGCAUACCAUCGGAUGUGCCCAGAUGGGAUUAGCUAGUAGGUGGGGUAAAGGCUACCCUAGGCGACGAUCCCUAGCUGGUCUGAGAGGAUGACCAGCCACACUGGGACUGAGACACGGCCCAGACUCCUACGGGAGGCAGCAGUAGGGAAUUUUGGACAAUGGGGGAAACCCUGAUCCAGCAAUCCCGCGUGUAUGAUGAAGGCCUUCGGGUUGUAAAGUACUUUUGGCAGAGAAGCGGUAUCUACAGAAAAAGCACCGGCUAACUACGUGCCAGCAGCCGCGGUAAUUC